rnacentral:rRNA from 1 species
AGCGAACGCUGGCGGCAGGCCUAACACAUGCAAGUCGAGCGCCCCGCAAGGGGAGCGGCAGACGGGAGAGUAACACGUGGGAACGUACCCUUUGGUUCGGAACAACCCAGGGAAACUUGGGCUAAUACCGGAUAAACCCUUACGGGGAAAGAUUCAUCGCCGAAGGAUCGGCCCGCGUCUGAUUAGCUAGUUGGUGGGGUAACGGCCCACCAAGGCGACGAUCAGUAGCUGGUCUGAGGGGAUGAUCAGCCUCACUGGGACUGAGACACGGCCCAGACUCCUACGGGAGGCAGCAGUGGGGAAUAUUGGACAAUGGGCGCAAGCCUGAUCCAGCCAUGCCGUGUGGGUGAUGAAGGCCCUAGGGUUGUAAAGCCCUUUCGGCGGGGAAGAUAAUGACGGUACCCGCAGAAGAAGCCCCGGCUAACUUCGUGCCAGCCGCCGCGGUAAAAC